rnacentral:rRNA from 1 species
AGGUGCUGCAUGGUUGUCGUCAGCUCGUGCCGUGAGGUGUCGGGUUAAGUCCCAUAACGAGCGCAACCCCUAUCGUUAGUUGCCAGCGGGUCAAGCCGGGGACUCUAGCGAGACUGCCACCGUAAGGUGAGAGGAAGGUGGGGAUGACGUCAAAUCAGCACGGCCCUUAUGUCCAGGGCUACACACGUGUUACAAUGGCCGAUACAAAGGGCAGCUACUUGGCAACAAGAUGCUAAUCUCUAAAGUCGGUCCCAGUUCGGAUUGGAGUCUGCAACCCGACUCCAUGAAGUUGGAUUCGCUAGUAAUCGGAUAUCAGCAAUGAUCCGGUGAAUACGUUCCCGGGCCUUGUACACACCGCCCGUCAAACCAUGGAAGCUGGGGGUACCUGAAGUCUGUGACCGCAAGGAGCGGCCUAGGGUAAAACUGGUAACUAGGGUUAAGUCGUAACAAGGUA